GGCUGCAGUGGGUUUGCUUUGACAAAAUUUAGCGCAUCGCCGCCUCGGGAGUCUACAGUUUGUCUGUGCGUCAUAGUCCGCUUUAUGGUUGGGAAUAAUUAUGAUACGACUAUCACAUUUUAUAGAAGCUAUCAUCGAAAAUGGAAAAUUCUAUUUAAUAUCAAAAAUCUAAAGAAUUUGAGUGGAGGUCGCGGCGGCAUGUUGCAUGAUUUGUGCGAGCGCCGAGCGCGGGGAUCGGGGGUCGAACCCGCGUCGAUCGCACGUGCUGAGUUAACGUGGCACAGCAACGAGAUGGCAACGGUCGUGAAGAAAUAUAAAAGGAAUAUUACAAUAAAAUUUUGGAGAUACCAUUUUAAUGGACUCAAUGGGCAGCGGACACAAUAUCCGGAAUAAAAUUAUGAUAAAUAUUAAACUAUUGGUAUUUAAGUGAUUUAUUACAAGCAUUACAAGCAUUUUGUAAUAUAGACCGGUUUAUAUAAAAUGUGAAAAUGGUUGAUUUGUUAAAUAAUAAAAUAUUGAUAAGAUGUCAAGCUGGU